rnacentral:rRNA from 1 species
UGGGGAAUCUUCCGCAAUGGACGAAAGUCUGACGGAGCAACGCCGCGUGAACGAAGAAGGUCUUCGGAUUGUAAAGUUCUGUGAUUCGGGACGAAAGGGUUUGUGGUGAAUAAUCAUAGACAUUGACGGUACCGAAAAAGCAAGCCACGGCUAACUACGUGCCAGCAGCCGCGGUAAUACGUAGGUGGCAAGCGUUGUCCGGAAUUAUUGGGCGUAAAGCGCGCGCAGGCGGUUUCUUAAGUCCAUCUUAAAAGCGUGGGGCUCAACCCCAUGAGGGGAUGGAAACUGGGAAGCUGGAGUAUCGGAGAGGAAAGUGGAAUUCCUAGUGUAGCGGUGAAAUGCGUAGAGAUUAGGAAGAACACCGGUGGCGAAGGCGACUUUCUAGACGAAAACUGACGCUGAGGCGCGAAAGCGUGGGGAGCAAACAGGAUUAGAUACCCUGGUAGUCCACGCCGUAAACGAUGGAUACUAGGUGUAGGAGGUAUCGACCCCUCCUGUGCCGGAGUUAACGCAAUAAGUAUCCCGCCUGGGAAGUACGAUCGCGAGAGAUUA